rnacentral:rRNA from 1 species
UAGCGGCGAGCGAAGCGGGAAGAGCUCAAAUUUAUAAUCUGGCACCUUCGGUGUCCGAGUUGUAAUCUCUAGAAGUGUUUUCCGCGUUGGACCGCACACAAGUCUGUUGGAAUACAGCGGCAUAGUGGUGAAACCCCCGUAUAUGGUGCGGACGCCCAGCGCUUUGUGAUACACUUUCAAUGAGUCGAGUUGUUUGGGAAUGCAGCUCAAAUUGGGUGGUAAAUUCCAUCUAAAGCUAAAUAUUGGCGAGAGACCGAUAGCGAACAAGUACCGUGAGGGAAAGAUGAAAAGCACUUUGGAAAGAGAGUUAACAGUACGUGAAAUUGUUGGAAGGGAAACGCUUGAAGUCAGACUUGCUUGCCGGAGCUUGCUUCGGUUUGCAGGCCAGCAUCAGUUUUCCGGGGUGGAUAAUGACGGUUUGAAGGUAGCAGUCUCGGCUGUGUUAUAGCUUUCCGUUGGAUACAUCCUGGGGGACUGAGGAACGCAGCGUGCUUUUUGCGAAAGACUCGUCUUUUUCACGCUUAGGAUGCUGGUGGAAUGGCUUUAAACGACCCGUC